rnacentral:tRNA from 1 species
CGGCGGCGUGGGCGAGCAUCAGCUUGGCGGUCACGUCGCCGAUCGCGAAGAUGUGCGGCACGCUGGUGCGGCACCGGCCGUCGACGUC